rnacentral:rRNA from 1 species
GACGGAAGGUGCAAGCGUUGCUCGGAAUCACUGGGCGUAAAGGGUGCGUAGGCGGCCGUGCAAGUCUGGCGUGAAAGCCCCGGGCUCAGCCCGGGAAGUGCGCUCGAAACUGCGCGGCUCGAGUGCCGGAGGGGAGAGUGGAAUUCCUGGUGUAGCGGUGAAAUGCGCAGAUAUCAGGAAGAACACCCGUGGCGAAAGCGGCUCUCUGGAACGGUACUGACGCUGAGACGCGAAAGCGUGGGGAGCGAACAGG